CACGUAGGGUGCGAGCGUUGUCCGGAAUUAUUGGGCGUAAAGAGCUCGUAGGCGGUGUGUCGCGUCGGCCGUGAAAACCUGCAGCUUAACUGUGGGCUUGCGGUCGAUACGGGCAUCACUGGAGUUCGGCAGGGGAGACUGGAAUUCCUGGUGUAGCGGUGAAAUGCGUAGAUAUCAGGAGGAACACCGGUGGCGAAGGCGCACAUCUGGCCCGAUACUGACGCUGAGGCGCGAAAGCUAGGGGAGCAAACGGG
rnacentral:rRNA from 1 species